rnacentral:rRNA from 1 species
UACAGAGGGGGCAAGCGUUGUUCGGAAUUACUGGGCGUAAAGGGCGCGUAGGCGGCCUUCUAAGUCGAACGUGAAAUCCCCGGGCUCAACCCGGGAACUGCGUCCGAUACUGGAAGGCUUGAAUCCGGGAGAGGGAUGCGGAAUUCCAGGUGUAGCGGUGAAAUGCGUAGAUAUCUGGAGGAACACCGGUGGCGAAGGCGGCAGUCCUGGACCGGUUCUGACACUGAUGCGCGAAAGCGUGGGUAGCAAACAGGA